GUCUCUGUAGAUCAGCGGUUGAUCACCUGGGAAAUAUGAUCUGGGUACACAUUCAUUUCUUCAGAAGCUGUGGGUUCGACUCCCGCCGGAGAUA